CGGGCGUGGUGCGCGGGCGGGGUUUCCCGCCGGCUCUACCCGGUGUGGUGCGCAGGCGCAGUCUGCGCGGGGACUGGCGGGACUGCGCGGCGGCGACUACAGACAUGUCGGGGGUCCGGGGCCUGUGGCGGAUGCUGAGCGCUCGGCGCCUGGUGCGGGUCAAGGCGUGGCCAACAGUGUUGCAAACAGGAACCCGAGGUUUUCACUUCACUGUUGAAGGAACAAGAGGGCAUCUGCUGAAGUUUCAGAUUCCAUUUCUGCUCAGUAUCCAGUAGUGGACCAUGAAUUCGACGCAGUGGUGGUAGGCGCUGGAGGGGCAGGCUUGCCAGCUGCAUUUGGCCUUUCUGAGGCAGGGUUUAAUACAGCGUGUGUUACAAAGCUGUUUCCUACCAGGUCACACACUGUAGCGGUGCAGGU